GAGGUUGUAAUUUAAAAGGGAAAAUAGUUGGUUGUCAUCCGAUUAAUAUGGGUUCGAUUCCUGUUAAUCUCG
rnacentral:tRNA from 1 species